AUUCUUCCUACUCUCAUUCCUCUGGCACUUGGUGGCAAGAUUCCAGCACAGCAAGUGUAAUCAAUAGACUCCUAUAAGUCUUUCUUGCUGCUAGUGGUUGGGGUCAGCCGUUGGUGAGCCUAAAGGAAUAAUAAGGGCCUCCCCUCUUCUGGUUAGAUCCUACUAUAGACUAGCAUAGUGUUUUCCUUUUUUCUCUUGUUUGGUCAAAUAGGUGAAAGCAUUUAGAUUUCCUGAAAUUAUUUUCUGUUUAGGGAUUAUCUUUAAGAUACCGAAUCGGAUACUUCAUGGAGACUCUUCACCUUGUUGUGUGUUGGUCCCUACCCUUAGCUCUGGGAAAAAAUUUGCCCUAGUGGUAGAAACGUUAGACUUUCUGGAUCCAGAGCUCAUGGGUUUUGCCUUCAGUCAGUUCUGCUUUUGGAUUUGGUCCUGGAUGCCCUAGCUGGGCUUUGCUGCUGAUCUUUGGUUGCUGUGGUUAGGUUUCCACCAUGAGUGGCUAGAUCCCCAGAUGCUGUCUGUCUGAUUGAUUGAAGCUCUGCUUAUUGCCUGCCAUCAGAGUCACCUGAUGAUAAACUCUGUUCACCUGCAAGGCUAUCCACCUGUUGUCUACUUCUAGACCUAUCUAACGCUUAACAUCUGUCUGACUGAACUUCCUUCCUUAUCCAGCCAGUCUUCCUUUAGUUUGCUGUGAGGAUUUUCCUAACAGCCUCUCCAUCUGUCUGAUCUGGCUCCAGUGGGACAGUCUAACAUCUGUAUUUGGUCUCCUCCAGAUUGGCCAUUUGUGUUACUGACAAAAUCCCUGGUCCCAAAGCAAAAGAGAAUGGCGUAUAGUGGAAAUAUGUGAGAAGCAGAAGGCGAAGAGUAUGUAAAGUGUCCAGAACUCUCCAGUCAUUAGACUGUGUUCCUGGCAACUAUUGUGUUGGUGAUUUGACAGAUUGGAAAAGCUUCCAGCAUCUUCAUGCAGGUGAACGGAACAGCACCUCGCCACUGCAUCUCAGUGCCUCAGACCUAAACUGAGGAAAUGGAUCAAGAGAUUUCAGAUGAUUAUUCAGUUCAAGGCACAGAAUCAUAAUUGGUCUAGGCAAGAACAUUCUAUACAAUUUUAUCAUUAUUUCCUUUCAUGUUUUAUCACCGAGUCUAUACCCCUAGACUUCCUCCUAUAUAUAUCUUAUCCCUCUAUCUAAUGUAUGUGAUUUUACUUUUCCAUUCCAUAUAUGUAUGUAUGUAUUUCGUAAAAUAUGGGUAAGGCUGUUCCUUGUGUAUAUAUUUAAUCUCCAUAAUAGCGAUGUACUCUAAACUUCAUUCUCUCAAAAAAGUGUUC
rnacentral:lncRNA from 1 species